CUACUUACCUGUUAAAAUUUCCUGUGCACUAAUCUUUAAAAUCUAGAGAUAGAUAUUAAGUAGGUUAAGUGACAUUUUAAAUCAGCCUAUGAACAUUUGACAACAGAAUCGUUUUUAGAAUCUUGAUUGUGGAUUCACUGUUGGGCUUAAUUAACUGCUUCUCCGUAGUUGGUUUUGGGUGUCAACUCGACUGCGUUAAGGGAUACUUGUCUGGGAAAGCAUUAUUUACUCUCCAUGCUUCAGUAGAUAAUGAGCCCUUCCCUCUUCUGGUGAAAGGGAAACACAGGUGGUUUGGCAUUUGAUUAGAAUAAUUGGGCUGCCCCAGGUGUGUCCCUGAGGGUGCUUUUGAGGGAAGCUUGGACUAAAUGAGGAAGAUCCGCCCUCCACGUGGGCAGGCACGAUCCAAUCAGCUGGAGGCCCCAAAUAGAACAAAAAAGGCGGAUAAAGGACGAAGUCUCCACAGAGGAGAGCUGUGCUUGUAGAUAGACAAGAGCUCCAGGUUCUCCGGCUUUUGGCUCCAGGACUCACACCAGUGUGCCACCAGGCUCUCUUUAGUUUUGGACUGAGAUUACACCAUAGAAUUCCCUGGUUCUGAGGUCUUCGAAUUCAGGCUGAGCCAUGCUACAGGCUUUCCAGGUUCUUCAGUAUCCAGAAGGUCUGUUGUGGGACUUCUCAGCCUCCAUAAGCAAGACUGAAGACAUGGAAUACAUUUGCUGGGUGUAAAUAGUUAAAGACAUCGCUGCUUUCAACUGGUGUCAACAUUUGGGUUGCUUCCAGUUUUGGCAAUUACUGUCACUAACAUUCACGUGUAACACUCAUUUUUAUUCGCCGGGAAUAAAUACUUGGAAGAGGAAUGGCUGGAUCAUAUGCUGGUCAGCUCAGGAUGGCCAAAGUAAUGUUUGAGCCAGCCAUAUCCGGGUGGCUGUAACUUUUCACUCCAAUGCAGUGUGAUGACUAUAGGGAAACCUGAAAAGAAUAUCUUUCACCUCUAAGAACAUCUGGCCUGGGAGAUUAUCAGGAGGCCAUGGAAGCCUAAAAUCUGGAAAUAAUGUCCGGAAUCAUGAACAUAAGAAACAAAAUCAUGAGAUGCUUCUUUUGGAUAUACCUCACACCUAAUCCAUUUUGCAAUAGCUGAUGUUUGUCCUGGUGUGGUUAGGUGAGUUAUCCAUGGAAAACUAAAAUUUCCCUCCAAUUACAUAGUAGGUCAUUUAAUUCUAAGUAGUGAAUUCAGGGCCAUAACUAUAUAUUUUAAUAGAAAUGAGAACAUAAAUGAAAAUACCUUAUGAUACUGCAGCAAUGAAAAAAUCCUAUCUGAUUGUUUCAUCAACAGAGUAAAUACUUUGUUUAACUAGACUGGAACCAAUGACAACAAACAGAGCUUCUGGCAAUGCUUGGUAAUGAGCUAUCAUGUUAACUGGUGUUGGGGGGGUCCAAUUAAUUUAAAAAGCAUCUCUAUUAUGGCCAAUUCUUUAAAGAAAUGAUUCUAAGAGAUAACUGCCAUCACUAGGGAGUAAAGUCCCACACUGCUUUAGACUUAAAUUUUAAGCACCUUUUAGUCCUAGACAGUUAACCAGGAAUCCUUCCAAGUGCCUUACCUUCAAUAGACAGAUGCUCAAAAGUACUUGUUGAAUGACACGCUCUUUCCAAAAUGGAAGAAAGAAAAUUGAAACAUAAACAAAUAUCAAGCAUACGAAGGCACUCAGGUCUAUUUAAGUAAAACCACGCCAACCAAGAACCAGCAUCAAAAGCUUGGGCAUCUAUUUGUCAUAAAUACCCAGCUAUGAAUUGGAUGGCUACAUCCAGAACUUAAUUCUUUCCGGUGUCACUCCAUGAUCAUACUAUAUUUCUAGUCCUGUAUGCUUUUAUUCUCUAGGCAAUUUCAUCCAUUGGCCCCUCUCCUCAAAAGCUGAGCAUCUCCUUCCCUGCUUUGAUUCACUGUGUUUAUGCUUCACAGAACAGAAUUUUUUCCACCAGCUUCUAACCCCACCUACCCACACCUAUGCCUGCUCUGUUUUUCCUUCUGCUAAUGUGAAGGAGCUGCUCAUGUUCAGUUCCAUAAGCUCUUCAAGUUCCACUUGUGGUCUAGAGCUUCUCUACUGUGCCUUAUUCAAGAAUAUCAUUCCAGCAAUCCCCAAGUCCACCCUGAAGCAACAUUUCUUCCUCUCUACUGGAUUAUCCCCAUCUAUAUACUAAUGAUGUGCUGUUAUUUCUCCCAGCAUUAAAUUGCAUUUAUGGACCCCACUUUUCGCAUGAUCUAAAAUAUGACUUCCCUGCUUCUCUAUAGUUUUGGAUGUCUACAUCAUUUCUAAGAACAGUGAAUUAUUAACUUCUUUUGUUCCACAUUUAGAGGCUCUAUCUUUGGUCCCUGUAAAUAAAUGUGUUCUUUCUUGCCACUUUGAGUUGUAUGAGGGAUGCAUAUAGCAGUAGAAAGUUAAGUGUAUAAAAUGCUACAGUAACCAAAUACUGAUACUGGUACAAAACAAGUAGGUAGACCAAUGAAACAGAAUAGAAAGCCCAGAAAUAAGGCUGCAACUGUAUGACCAUCUAAUAUUUGACAAAACUGACAAAAACAAGGAAUGGGGAAAAGAUGCCAUAUGCAGAAGAUUGAAGCUGGACCCCUUCCUUACAUUAUAUACAAAAAUCAACUCAAGAUGGAUUAAUGACUUCAAUGUAAAAUCUCAAAAUAUAUAAUCAAUAAAUAAAACCCUGUAAGACAACCUAGGCAAUGCCAUCCUGGACUUAGGAACUGGCAAAGAUUUCAUGAUGAAGACACUAUAGGCAAUCAGAACAAAAGCAAAAACGGACAACUGGGUUCUUAUUAAACUUAAAAGCUUCUGCACAGUAAAAUAAACUAUCAACAGAGUAAACAGAAAACCUACAAAAUGAAUGAAAAUAUUUACAAACUAAGCAUCUGACAAAAGUGUAAUAUCCAGCUCCUAUAAGAAACUAAAUUUACAAGAGAAAAACAAUCCCAAUACAAAGUAGGCAAAGGGGCCAGUUGCAGUGGCUCAUCCCUUUAAUCUCAGCACUUUGGGAAGGUAAGACGGGUAGAUCACCUGAGGUUGGGAGUUUGACACCAGCCUGACCAACAUGGAGAAACCCUGUCUCUACUAAAAAUACAAAAAUAGCCGGUGGCACAUGCCUGUAAUCCCAGCUACUCAGGCGGCUGAGGCAGGAGAAUCACCUGAACCCAGGAGGCAGACGUUGUGGUGAGCUGAGAUUGCGCCAUUGCAUUCCAACCUGGGCAACAAGAGCAAAACUGCAUCUCAAAAAAAAAAAAAAAAAAAAAGAAAUGGGUAAAGGACAAGGACAGACACUUCUCAAAAGAAGACCUAAAAACAACCAACAAGUAUAUGAUAAAAAACUCAAUAUCACUGAUUGUUGGAGAAAUGCAAAUCAAAACCUCAAUGAGAUAUCAUCUCACACCAGUCAGAAUGGCUAUUAUUAAAAAGUCAAAAAAUAACAGAUGCUGGCAAGGUUGCAGAAAAAAGGGAAUCCUUAUACACCGUUGGUGGGAGUGUAAAUCAGUUUGCUUUUGUGGAAAGGGAUUCCUCAAGAAGCUAAAAGCAGAUUUACUAUUUGACCUAGCAAUCCUAUUACUGGGCAUAUACAUGGAGGAAUAUAAAUCAUUUUACCAUAAAUACACAUGCACAUGAACAUUCAUUGCAGCACUAUUCAUAAAAGCAAACACAUGGAAUCAACCUAAAUGCCCGUCUGUGACAGAGUGGAUAAAGAAAACGUGGUACAUACACAUCAUAGAAUACUAUGCAACCAUAAAACGAAUGAGAUCAUAUUUUUAGCCAGAACAUGGAUAGAGCUGGAGGCUAUUAUCCUUAGCAAACUAAUGCAGAAACAGAAAACAAAAUAUUGUGUGUUCUCACUUUUAAGUGGAAGCGAAAUAAGAAGAACUUAUGAACACAAAAAGGAAACAACAGACACUGGGGUCUACUUGGGAGGGUGACAGGAGAGAGAGGAACAGAAAAAGUAACUACUGGGUACUAAGCUUAUUUCCUGAGCAAUGAAAUAAAAUGUACAGCAAACCCCUAUGAUAACUUGUUUAUGUAAAAAAAAAAAAGAAAGCUUCACAUAUACCCCUAAACCUAAAAGAAAAGUUAAGUGCUCAUAAGCUCUGUGAGUCUACUGAAAUGAUCAUGCAUGAGAGGCCAUCCUCAAUCAGUCACCCCUCAAUUUUCUCUGUGCAGCAGUGGCUAUUUACUUUGGAUACAAGAUAAAAUUUAUGUAAGUGGUUGAGACUAGUCUUCGGAACACAAGUUUCACACACAAAAAAAUAAUGAAACUAUAAAUAUUUGUGUUUUUUCCAAGGCAAAGAGUAGUUUUGUCCUAAGAUAACAUUAAUCAGUAUUUUUUUUUUGCUUCUGUUUUGUUUUGGUCUUCUUAACACUCUUAAACCACUUUAUACUUUUCACAUACCUUACUCUCAAAACUUGUUGAAGACUCCAAAGAGGUUUUACUUCUAUGUUGUAAAUAUCAGUACUCACUGUUGGAAACUGAAACAGAACCACUAUUACAAUGCUUUUAUAAUGACGCAAGGGAAGGUAGCAAAGAUAAAAGCAUUGCAUAUUAAUAACAUCUCGGUAAUAGGAUAAAGUUAGUUCUGGUCUCAUGGACCUCCUGAGAUCUGUCCUAAAAUCAAAUGUCAGUUUGUUCCAGAAUAUGAAAGAGAGGAACCACAGAUACAAUUGGAAAGUAGAACUUAUUUCCCUUGGAUUUUAUAAUACCUGAAUCUGGAAAUCUAUAAAACCUGUUAAAAUCUGAGCAAAGCUAUCUCAAUUUUGAUGAGUUUAUUUUCUUUGUUUAGUAAUACUUCAUGUGCAAUAUAAAGUGUUAACAUUUUUGUUGUGUGUAAUCUGUCUAGAUAAUGAAGAUUCUGUUCUCAGCAGA